rnacentral:rRNA from 1 species
UACGUAGGGGGCAAGCGUUGUCCGGAAUCAUUGGGCGUAAAGCGCGCGUAGGCGGCCCGGUAAGUCCGCUGUAAAAGUCCAGGGCUCAACCCUGGAAAGCCGGUGGAUACUGUCGGGCUAGAGUCCGGAAGAGGCGAGUGGAAUUCCUGGUGUAGCGGUGGAAUGCGCAGAUAUCAGGAGGAACACCGGUGGUGUAGACGGCUCUCUGGACCGUAACUGACGCUGAGACACGAAAGCGUGGGUAGCAAACAGG